GCCCGCGUGGCGAAAUUGGAUAUCGCUUUAGACUUCUAAUCUAAGGGUUGCGGGUUCGACCCCCGUCGCGGGUA